UCAAGCGUGAGUAUGACUAGUCUCAAGUCAUUUGGUGUUGGACACUAAGACAAACAUAUAGGUGCUCGAAAGAGUAAUCGAGUACACUGAACUACGAUCAAAAGAGAGUUCGAACAUGCAUGUCAUGUAUGAACUCUAAAGUUACAAUAUGCAAAGUAGUCCUUUGACCUGAGGCAUCAUAGAUGUCUAAUGGUUAGGUCCUUGAUCUUUGAUCAUGUCAAACGACAUUCCAUUGGAGUGUCCACGGCAUUGUUGGGGUCAAGCUAUCUAGUCAUGUAGGCAUAUGAAUGCACAACAAGGGAUCUCUAACCCUCCAUGGUGGAGGGAGAAUACUCUAAGAUAUGAUUCUAAAGUCUUUGGCCAAAGCAAAUAAAUAUGACUUAGGAAGUUUGUUCCAAAUCAUAUUCAAGGGAAUCAUAUAGGAAAUUAUCACAUUGGAUAGUAGACAUGAAACAAACUAUCACUUAAACAAUGUGAUUAAGAGUAUUGUAUUA
rnacentral:lncRNA from 1 species